UCUUCGAGUCGUUGAUUUCACACUGCCGAGAAAAGCCUCUAGAUAGAAAAUAGGUGCCCGUACCGCAAACCGACACAGGUAGUCAAGAUGAGAAUUCUAAGGUGAGCGAGCGAACUCUCGUUAAGGAACUCGGCAAAAUGACCCCGUAACUUCGGGAGAAGGGGUGCUCUUUAGGGUUAACGCCCAGAAGAGCCGCAGUGAAUAGGCCCAAGCGACUGUUUAUCAAAAACACAGGUCUCUGCUAAACCGUAAGGUGAUGUAUAGGGGCUGACGCCUGCCCGGUGCUGGAAGGUUAAGAGGAGUGGUUAGCUUCUGCGAAGCUACGAAUCGAAGCCCCAGUAAACGGCGGCCGUAACUAUAACGGUCCUAAGGUAGCGAAAUUCCUUGUCGGGUAAGUUCCGACCCGCACGAAAGGCGUAACGAUUUGGGCACUGUCUCAACGAGAGACUCGGUGAAAUCAUAGUACCUGUGAAGAUGCAGGUUACCCGCGACAGGACGGAAAGACCCCGUGGAGCUUUACUGUAGCCUGAUAUUGAAAUUCGGCACAGCUUGUACAGGAUAGGUAGGAGCCUUUGAAACGUGAGCGCUAGCUUACGUGGAGGCGCUGGUGGGAUACUACCCUAGCUGUGUUGGCUUUCUA
rnacentral:rRNA from 1 species